UACGGAGGGGGCAAGCGUUGUCCGGAUUUAUUGGGCGUAAAGAGCGCGUAGGCGGCCUGACGGGUCUGCUGUGAAAACUCGAGGCUCAACCUCGAGAUGUCGGCGGAAACCGUCUGGCUAGAGUCCGGAAGAGGAGAAUGGAAUUCCUGGUGUAGCGGUGAAAUGCGCAGAUAUCAGGAAGAACACCCGGGGCGAAGGCGGUUCUCUGGGACGGUACUGACGCUGAGACGCGAAAGCGUGGGGAGCGAACAGG
rnacentral:rRNA from 1 species